UGCUAAGAAAAGGAUUUAAACCUUUAUUUAAGUAUUU
rnacentral:tRNA from 1 species